UAUAUACUCCCUCCGUUCGGAAUUACUUGUCGUAGAAAUGAAUGUAUCUAGAUGUAUUUUAGUUCUAGAUACAUCCAUUUCCGAGACAAGUAAUUUCGAACAGAGGGAGUACAAC
rnacentral:pre_miRNA from 1 species